UUCGUUGUUUGAAUCUGAUUUUUAUGCGUGUUUCUAUUAUUAUUUUCUUAAUCCAUUUCUCUCAUGGUAAUUUUUCAAAGGUAUAAAAUAAAGCAGUUACAUCUCUGUGGUAGUUGCUGUUUUGGCUUUUCCUAUUUCUCAAAUUUCUAACACUUUCGAUCCUGUUUAGUUUGUCAUCCUACUGGUGUUUGAGAUGAGAUAGCACGCGGGCAAGGAGGUCAAAAGCAUCCACCUCAACAGUAUACUAUAUUCAGCACUUGAUCGCCCGUGUGAAGGUUUCAAAUCCGUGUAAGGUGGCGUUUGGGAGUGGUGGCGAUUGCUGCUGGAGGCAUUGGUAAUGUUGAAAGAAGUGCAGGAUGAAAUGGAGGAAGAUGAGGAAGACGGAGAGGCUGAAGAAGAUGAUGAAGACGAUGACGAGGAUUCCGAGGGGGAUGAACUUGAAGAAACCGAAGAGGACUUUCUGGAAAGGUAUGCAAGAGCAGCCACUGCCUUGGAAAAUGGUACGGUUGGUGGAAGAUCAGGAGCAUGAAGUUGAGCUCGGUAAAUCUGACUAUACAUUGUUCUCUAGAAAGUGUAAUAACUAUUUGCAAAGGAGCAUGAAGUAGCAUUACCGGUUUCUCUUGCCGCCUAUUUGCAAAGGUGAUUUCAACUGCUGCUCCUUCGGUUAUAAUUUAUGAUCUCAAAAUUACUACUUGAUAUGCGAGCAAUAACACUUUAAAUUUUCAAGAA